UCGGCCCUAUAAGGCCCCCGACGCGCUCCUAACCUUCCGGCCGCCCCCAACCAUCUCCAACCCCGGCGACCCACCCCGGCGCAUCCCAGCCCAGUGCCGCCCUUCCCGGCGACCCCAACCCCGGCACGCCUCAGCCCCGGCGCCCCCAUCCCCGGCGACCCUAGCCCUGGCGCGCCUCAGCCCCGGUGACUCCCAUCUCGGGCCUCCUCCCUCCAUCGCCGCCGCGCCUCUCGCCACCUCCCUCCGCCACCAACCCAGAUCCCUCCGAGCACCGCGCGCCAUCUCCUGCGAUUCCCGCCACCGCCUGUUUCUAGCGCGGCUCUCCGCCUCCCAGCGACGACGAGGAAGAUGACGGGAGAUCUGCCCGUCUUCACGCAUGGCACCCCUGGUCCUUGGAUCCCCGCUCCCCUCCGGCGACCCUACUCGCUCGCCCGACGCUCGCUCCGGUGACCAGCCGCGCAUCACACGAUAGAUCCCCAAGCUCCUUCACAUUCAGCGCCGCCGCCACGCAACCUCAUCUCCUUUUUCUCUUCAUUACGACCAGUAGCCUGUAGGGGUUUCUUCAGCUGCGGUUCAACAAGAAAACCAGCGGCGGUUCUAUCUCUUUCCUCUCUAAUGCUCUUUAUCUUACUAAUUUGUUUUCUAUUGGAACUGCAGCCCGAGGGAGGUUGGACGGACAGCAUAUUGGCGAUGUUAACAUCAGUUUGUUUAUAUUGAACUGAUGAUCGUGUAUUACUACUGAAGUCAAGCAACGAGUUCAAUGGAUUCCAAAAAGGAAAAAAAAUUGUGGAUGGGUGAUGAAUCAACUUCCUGUACUGUUGUGCCAUUAGCAUUGGACGACCCCGACCACUGGCACCACUGCUUCCCUACCUCCUGCUUGCAUCGCCAUCUCCCGGUGGGGCUCUGCCGCCGGAGCACCCUGGCCGUUCACAGCCACCACUCCAGGCCGUUCAACGCCACCACCCCAGGCCGUUCAUUGCCAGCAGCACCCUGGAUCCCACCCCUCACCCUAGGAGUUUCAGUUAUCGACAAGUCCAUGUAGUACUACAUGUGAAGUACAAAAAUUACUGCUAGUGAGAGUUAAUUUAAAUCCUGGAAGUUCAACGCUGCAACUACAGGCCGUUCAAUCUCUCCGUCGUGGACACGCCCCUUCACCUCCUUCUGGUUGCUAGUCAUCCCGGUGUGGCCAGGCCGUUGGGUUCGCCGCCGCUGCGAUCAGCAGUCCAACCCGGCCGCCCCAGGCCGUUCACCGUCGCAGCUCCCUGGCCGACUGUGUCGAGCCACCUUCCGCCUGCACCUUGGGCUCCCGUAUGCGUCCCCUACCCCAGCAGGUGCACACGUCCCGGCCCACCGUUCCCUGUGUUGUUCUUUUGACCUUGAACUAUAUAGGAUACAACUUUUAUUUGAUUUUCAGUUCACCUUUUCCGUUCUUUUCAGUUCAUAAACUUUAAUGUAUUGAUGAAAUCCUGAAAUAUCAUAUGUGCACUCUACGUAUUUGUUUUUAUGCCUACGAACAAUUCUUCACUUGUGCUGUUAUGCAUCAGUUUUGGUCACCAAAAAAAUGGAGGUUUAGAUAUGACAAAAUGGAUUAGAGCACCAUGUCCUCACCCAGAAGUAUGAAAAAAUCAUUGCUUUCAGUUCUAGUAAAAUGUUUUUUUUUUAAACUGGACUGCUGAUUCUUUCUGUAAUGGGCUUUAUAUAUUAUCUUUCCUAUGUCUUACUGUAGGAAAAUAUGGUGGCCUUCAGCAAGUAAUCUUUCUCUAACGGGCAUCCUAUGCCCGCGCCACCGAGAGCCUGAUCCUACUUGCUGCGUGCUCACGACGACCACAAGCAUCGUAAGAAAAAGGCUCGUUGAGCUGCACUUGUUUGUAUUGUCGCUCUUCCUCUGCUCCUCAAGCGCCACUGCUGUCUCGUGCUGACCUCGACGCACCGACCAUCGUCCAGGCUGCUGCUGGUUCGUGCUACAUAAACAAAAAGAGUUAAAGAACAUAGAUGAGAGGAAUUCAGUUCAGGAAGAUUAAAGGGUUAACCUCCUGGGAUACACGAAGUUUCAGUUCGUCGAGAGGCUUCCUGGAGCUUCAAAACAUUUCACUACUCCUUUUUAGGCUUUUUCAGUACAUCUUACAAAAUUUUGUUUUUGGGAAUUCCACCGUUGAUCCCAAGCUCCAUGGGCAUUUCAUGCAUUCGCUGGUCUGUGUGUGCAAUUAUUCUAUUAUGGAGAUGUCAGUUCAUUACAACGCUACUCCGGCUUUUUUCUCCUACAACAAGACUUGCAUAUGGCUACAGGUUCAUAUCAAGGAAGUUUAGAAAAAUUGCAGCGCCUUUCAGUUCAUUGUAUGAAAAAAGCAAAGUUCAUCUUGUCUAGUACAGGUUGCUGCUGGUGUCCGUUCAUUGUCGAUUUCGUUUUGGGAAAUUUCCAAAACUUAAUGCUGAGAACGGAUGCAGUUUGAUCUUGUGCAAGUUGGAAAUUCCCUGAUGCUGAGUGUGUCAGUACAACCCUACGUCACACAGGAAACAGUGUGUACAUUUUUGGAUUUAAUUUUGGAAGGUUCACACAUCCAUAUUAGUUCUCAUUGUGGCCUACUUGCCUUUAGUUCCAAAGCCUUUAGUUCCAAACAAGUUGGGGUAGGCUAGAGGUGAAACCCAUAAGAUCUCGCAAUCAACUCAUGGCUCUGGCACAUGGAUAGUAAGCUUCCACGCACCCUUGUCCAUAGCUAACUUCCUCUUGGUGUUCUCAUUGUGGCCUACUUGCGGGGCAUACGCGCUGAUAACAUUGAGAACCAAGUCCUCAACUACCAGCUUGACCAAGAUAAUCCGGUCCCCACGUCUCUUGACGUCUACCACUCCAUACUUGAGGCUCUUAUUGAUCAAGAUGCCUACGCCAUUUCUGUUUGCAGCCGUCCCCGUGUAUCACAGCUUGAAGCCGGUAUCCUCCACCUCCUUCGCCUUCUGUCCUCUCCAUUUGGUUUCUUGGACGCAAAGGAUAUCAACACCUCUCCUCACCGCUGAAUCAACUAGCUCCCGAAGCUUCCCUGUCAGAGACCCUAUGUUCCAGCUACCUAAGCGAAUCCUCCUAGGCUCGGCUAGCUUCCUUACCCUUCGCACCCGUCGAGUCAAAUGCGAAGACCCUUGCUCAUUUUCCAAUACACCCGGGCGCCGAUGUAGCGCGCCACUAAGGAUGCGACGACCCGAUCCUCGCUCACUUGCCAUCGUAUUCGGAUCAAGAUAUGGCGCGCCACUUGGGGGGUGACGGCCCGGCCCUUGCCCACUUUCCACCACACCCGGGUUCCGAUGUGGCGCGUCGCUGAGAGGGUUACGCCCCAACAAAAAUCUUUUGGGUUUCAUCUCCAUAAGAGUGGCUGAAUUUUUACGUUGGCUCGCCAAGCCUAUCACAACCCUCCUUCUUUACCCGGGCUUGGGACCGGCUAUGUUGAGACAACAUAGGCGGAGUUAUCGGACAUAAUUUUGUAAGUUUAGAAAAAGCAAUUGCUCAGUACAUCACAACAGCUCUUCAAUGCAAAAAGGAUGGCUCUUCUCAAGUCAGCAGCUAACUGGACUGGUAACUUCAGGGUAGCUCAGUCAAAUAUGGCAGCUGUUCAGUAAACAACUUCAGUUGAGAAAUCAGCAAGCGCCAUGCUCAGUCCAACCCCGUGGCUUCAGGGUGCCCGAGUUCGUCGCGACCAUCAGUUUGGAGACCUGCGUCACUGCCCGUGUCGCUACCAUGGCCACCUGCAUCACUGCGUGCUCCGUCAACAGCCUCCUGCACAAGGAAAAGCAACCGGAGUAGAGGCUUUUGAGAUGCUCUGUUCUAGCGAGGUGGCUAAUUAUGUUUGUCAGUUUGUAAUACUUUGGCCGCAGUUUACUUAUGUAUCUUUUUCUGGCCGGAGCACGACCAGAGCUUAUGUCAGUAUGAACUUUGAUUGUGAUGGUACUACAAACUCUAUAAUUACUUACCUUUUAUAUAAUUCACUUGGAGUGCCCCUAUUACCAACUAUGGUACAAAAAUGCACUGUGCUCACCAUUUUAUUUUAGUUCAUCAGUUUGUAAUACUUUAAAGAGAGGAGGUAAUAGUGAACCAUUCGGUUUUGUAUUAUAAAAAGUGUUAAUGUGAGAAACUUCAAAAACAUCUUGUUUAAUAA